CGGCGAGUGAAGCGGCAACAGCUCAAAUUUGAAAUCUGGCCCCUCGGGCCCGAGUUGUAAUUUGUAGAGGAUGCUUCGGGCGUGGUCCGGUCUAAGUUCCUUGGAACAGGACGUCGUAGAGGGUGAGAAUCCCGUAUGCGACCGGGUGCCUAGGCCUGUGUGAAGCUCCUUCGACGAGUCGGGUUGUUUGGGAAUGCAGCUCAAAAUGGGUGGUAAAUUUCAUCUAAAGCUAAAUACCGGCCAGAGACCGAUAGCGCACAAGUAGAGUGAUCGAAAGAUGAAAAGCACUUUGGAAAGAGAGUUAAAUAGUACGUGAAAUUGUUGAAAGGGAAGCGCUUGCGACCAGACUUGCGUGCGCCCGAUCAUCCGGCGUUCUCGCCGGUGCACUCGGCGCACACAGGCCAGCAUCAGUUCUGGCGGCUAGACAAAGGCCCUGGGAAUGUGUCUUCCUUCGGGGAGUGUUAUAGCCCUCGGUGCAAUAUAGCCCACUGGGACUGAGGACCGCGCUCCGGCUAGGAUGCUGGCGUAAUGGUCGUAAGCGACCCGUCUUGAAACACGGACCAAGGAGUGGAAUAUCUAUGCGAGUGUUCGGGUGUUAAACCCCUGCGCGGAAUGAAAGUGAACGGAGGUGAGAGCCCUUCAGGGUGCAUCAUCGACCGAUCCUGAUGUCUUCGGAUGGAUUUGAGUAAGAGCAUAGCUAUUUCGACCCGAAAGAUGGUGAUCUAUACCUGAAUAGGGUGAAGCCAGAGGAAACUCUGGUGGAGGCUCGCAGCGGUUCUGACGUGCAAAUCGAUCGUCAAAUUUGGGUAUAGGGUACGUAUUAUUUUUCUUUUCUAUAGUAAGCCAAAGCCUAUUUAGAUAGUCGAUAAGACUCAUAGGAACAAGCAGUCUCAUAUGAUAUGUGGGUGUGCUGGAGAGGCCUGCUAUGCAGUAGACUUGACAGGACGACUGAGUAGGACGGGUAUUUGUGAAUGUUCUAAGGGGUCUUUAUAAUUAUAUCUAACCUUAUGUUUAGAAUGUCUUUUAUAUAUAGGCUUUGGCUUGCUGUAAUUCUCAACUAGUUUAGAGGAGCAAAUAGCUAAUAGUGCACUAC
rnacentral:rRNA from 1 species